rnacentral:rRNA from 1 species
UACGAAGGGGGCUAGCGUUGUUCGGAAUCACUGGGCGUAAAGCGUACGUAGGCGGACCAUUAAGUCGGGGGUGAAAUCCCAGGGCUCAACCCUGGAACUGCCUUCGAUACUGGUGGUCUGGAGUCCGGGAGAGGUGAGUGGAACUCCUAGUGUAGAGGUGAAAUUCGUAGAUAUUCGGAGGAACACCAGUGGCGAAGGCGGCUCACUGGUCCAUUACUGACGCUGAGGUGCGAAAGCGUGGGGAGCAAACAGG